GAUGAACGCUGGCGGCGUGCUUAACACAUGCAAGUCGAACGAACCUUCGGGUUAGUGGCGGACGGGUGAGUAACGCGUGAGAAUCUGCCCUCAGGAGGGGGACAACAGCUGGAAACGGCUGCUAAUACCCCAUAUGCCGCGAGGUGAAAUGAAUUUCGCCUGAGGAUGAGCUCGCGUCUGAUUAGCUAGUUGGUGUAGGUAAUGGCUCACCAAGGCAUCGAUCAGUAGCUGGUCUGAGAGGAUGAUCAGCCACACUGGGACUGAGACACGGCCCAGACUCCUACGGGAGGCAGCAGUGGGGAAUUUUCCGCAAUGGGCGAAAGCCUGACGGAGCAACGCCGCGUGAGGGAUGAAGGCCUCUGGGCUGGAAACCUCUUUUAUCAAGGAAGAAGAUCUGACGGUACUUGAUGAAUAAGCCACGGCUAAUUCCGUG
rnacentral:rRNA from 1 species